CUUAAGUAUUUUAUUUUUUGAGGCUAUUGUGAAGGACACUGUUUUCCUGGUUUCUUUCUCUCUCAGCUGUCCUGCAGAAUCCUGUUCUUCCUUCUCAUUAUAUGAUGUGAGUGGUCUAUCUGUUUGGGGCAAGAGGAUGACAUUGAGAGGUGGGUUCUGGUGGUGACUGUCUGUCCACUGUCACCAUGGAUCAGGGUGUUUGGGGCUGGCCUAAUCCUUGAGAAGCCAGUUACAUAGAAUGAUUAGCCCUACGUAAGCUUUGGAGGCAAAGCACACCCAGGUUUGAAUUGUGGCUUUAUCUAGUGCUUACCAGUUGUAGGACACUGGUAUGGUAUUUCCCCCUUCUAGACUGGGUUUCUUUGUCCAUAAAGACACUGGCAUUAGUGCCCACCUCAUAGGAUUGUUAGAACUAAAGGGCCUAAUGCACAAGAACACCUCUCCAACACUAGGCACUUGAAAAUGAUGAGUGGAGAAUUUAUUGUAGUAAGUGGAGUGAAAGUAGCUCCACUACCAUGUAUGACAAAGCAAAAAUGAGUGUGUUAGGGCACGACAGGGUCGAGGUUAACCAGAGUCCCUUGAAGAGGCCAACAAAGCUCAGGACUGUGCAUUCAAAGGACUUUAUCUGUGCACACGUGUGUGUGCACGUGUGUGCGCUUGUGUUUUAAAUCACAUAUCUAUUACACGUAACAGAUACACUUUCUCUAGCAAUAAUCUUGUUUUUUUCAAAAGGCAAUAAUACUAAAGAUUAAGACACAUUUUGAAACAGUGAAUUCCUAGCAUGACCAUCUUUUCCAAAGCAAAGCCUUCUUUUUCAGGAAGAAUCACAUCGGCCAUCACCACGAGCGAGCACAAACACCUACACACCCACAGACACGGAGACCAGGGCGGGGGAAGAGUGAUGUGUUUCCAUAGUGGGGAAAACAUCUCACAGAGACAGUGGGAAGCAGUAAUCAAUUCUGGUUUUAUGUGUCACAUACAUAAAUAAAUAAAGUGCUAUCAAAUGCUUAAAAUGGGCCUGCUCUGAUUUACAAUCCAUCAAAUUCUGCUAUCAAAACAUUUAGAGAGGCUGUGAGACUAGAGGGAUUUGUUAUAUCGACAUUUCCUGGUGUAACCUUUCCGUUUCCCUUCUUUCUGGGAUUUGCGCACACUCCAUCUUCCUGGGGCUACAUGAGGGGCAUGAUUUCUCUGCUGCCCAGGCAUGGAUCAGAGCGAGACAGGGCUUUUCAGCAGCUGUUAGACUGUGUCUGUUAGAUCUCUUUCUCUCUCGCACUCCAAGCCCCACCCUCUGUGUCCCCAUACGCAUGGCUUUCUCCUGAACCCUUUCAUCUGUACUUGAAGAGUCUCCAAUUCAUCUCAAAGCCUUGGACAAAGGAUGACGUUUCCUCUUAUUUUUGGGCAGAAAGUCUACCCGAAAGCCAUCUAAGCGCAUCUUUGCAUCUCUCCACCUGGGACUUGGGGUGUAGGAGGCUGAAAAAUGCCCCCAGCCCAGGACAGCCAGGCCCUAACCUCUGGAACAAGGGAAUGUUCCUUGUAUGGCACAGGGAACUCUGACAUGGUGACUAAGUGCUAGACAUGGAGAGGCCACACUGGACUGUCCAGCUGAGCCCGACAUGUGACCACAAUGUCCCUGUAAGCAGAGGCAGAGAAGAUGGGGCCACAGAGGAGAAGGAGGUGUGGUGAUGGGAAAGUCAGGCGCCUGAAGUGCUCAGAGACGGAGCGAGGUACCACUUGCUGAGGAACUCAGGUGGCCACAAGCAGCAGGAAGAGGCAAGGACAAGACUUCCCUGGAGCCCGGGGAGUCCGACUGUCAAUUUCUGAUCCCCAGAGCGGUAAGAGAAUAAAUUAGUGGUGUUUUCAGCCACUGAAUCUGUGGCAAUUUGUUCCAGCAGCCACCGGAAGUGACACAGUGGGCAAGCUGAUCUUACAUGGCAGACUGGCACCACCCACCUUGGGGAGGGCCUCCUCUAGGCAGAAGCAGAGGCCUAGUUCCCCCUGGCCCUGGUGCCACUGAGGUGCUGCCCUUGGGACUCAGCACAGCCUGAGCUUUGGUGCUGGCGCCCAGCCUGUGAGGCAGGUAUGCAAAGGCUUUGCCCUGGUGGGGUGAGGACUGCCUGUGGGCUACAGUAGGGGGACAGUCCUCAGAGAAAGGCGCAUACCUGCUGCCCACAUUGUUUCCUCUACCCCAAAACAGGCUCCAGACUUAUCUAUCCUCACUUCGCGAUGACUUUGGUCCAGAGCCCAUCUUUUCUCCUCUGGGCCUCUCGCCUGCUUUCUCUUGGGCUCUGGCUCACAUGCCACUCCUGUUUAGUCAUUCACUCUCAGAGAGAUCUCUGGAGAUCUGAGAUCAGGUCUGCUAAAGACCCUGGUGCCUAGGCCACACCUCAGACCAAUCCUCUUAGAACCUCAGGUCUGGGGCCCGGCGUCCACCUUUCUGAAAUUCCUCCAGAGAUGCUGAUGGCGGCUGGGGGUGGGGACCCCCGCCGGAAGCCUCCUGCAUUGCAGUGAGGAAGGCCUGUGCUCCACUCUGGGAGCUGGCGGGCCGCCUCUUGAGGCUCUUGGCGCUGGGCCAGUUUCUAAGCUAGCCUCACAAAUAUUUUCCUUCUCAUUUCCUAGACCGAAUGAGGGGGUGGGCAUGACGGCACCACCUGCUUUCUCCACUGCCCUUGUCCCACCUCCUUCAUUCCUGUUUUAAAAGAUCAUACACAGGACGAGUGUCACUGUGAUUUGAAGGUGUCCCCACAAAGUCCCUGGGCUGGACACUUGAUCCCUAUAUUCCUGCGUGAAUGGCACUUGGAAGUGGGACUCUGGGAAGUGCUUAGCAUCAGGUGAGGCCCCACGAUGCCAUCAGUGGCUUUAGAGAGGCAGAGCGUCCUGGGCUGGCACACUCCCCACCUCACCACAUGGGGGGCCUCUGCCAUGUUAUGACGCAGCAAGGGCGCCUUGCCAGAAGCCAGAACCAUGGACGACAAGAAAUAAAUUAAUUCCUAGUCUCAUUUGUUCAGUUGUAGCAACAGAAAAUGAACAAAGACGAGUGUCCUGUGGAAGGUCACUGACCUACAGUAGGUCGGUCUCCGGGCCUACGGCUAACGGAGGGAGACAGGAAGUGAAAGAGGAAGCCUGAGGUGCAGACUCUAGCUCCUCCAAUGCAGCCAGCAGUGUGCCACUCCUGCAUCGGCACCCAUGGCUGCUGGAGGCUAUGGGCACCAAGCUCUGCGCAUGACUGCACCCAGACACUACGAAACAGCUUCAGAUAAGUGCCUGAAAACCUAGAGAACAAUGGGUCGCAGUGUAAACCUGGGCCUGGUCUUGCCCAGCCCACCCGCUGAACAAGUGGGGAAGUGGAGGACUGUGAGGUGUCACUGCCCAGAAAAGAUACACAGGUGGGGGGUGGGUCCCGGCAGGUGGCCUUUGGCAGCCCACUGGGAGGCAUUCCCCACCUGAACCUGGGCUGAAGUCCAGGCCGGGUACCUGUGGUUACACCAGGUCAGCUCUGGGCUGAGGGUGACAGUUUGGUUGACCUUCCCAGAGUGCUGUCUUGGUGGGUAGACCAGGACUAGGUGCACAGGUGCACCGGCCACAGUGCCCACUUUGGGAGGGCUCUUGAUCACGUACUUGGCCUGCAUCAGAAAGCAGGAAAAGCUGUUUGUGUGAUCACUUUCAUCACGAAGGCAAAAUUCUGCCUGAGCCUCUGCAGUGUGGAAAGGUUCUAGACAGACGUGACUUUAAUUUACACUUGGAAAGAAACCUUAGGGGCUGCCCACUUUCCCCAAAGGCCUCCUUCACAUCUCUAAGUAAUUUUGAACCCUGAUGCUCUUUUGCAGAAAAUCGUGGUCUGCUGGUUCCUUCCAACAGUCCUCCCCUCUCCUCUACACCAACACAACAGCAGCAGUGCAAAGCGAAGAAGCGUCCCUCAGGUCCCAGCUGAGCAAUACAGUCCACAGGACAGUUCUACUGGCAUCCACUUGUGUCAGUCUCAUAGGCCGGAGAGAACAGCAGGAAAUAUUAGAACCUGUUUUCCCAGGAGGCCAUGAAGGCUGCCCAGAGGUUUCCUUCAGGGAUGCAGCUCAGAGCCACCAUUACUCCAGCUUUCUGCUGGUACCUUCUGGUUUGUACAAACAGGUUCUGGGCUGCCCAUCCCCACUUCCUGCCAGGGACCCGGCUCUCUCCACCCAGCAGAGGCCUGGAACUGGCCCAGCUGAGGCCCUGCCUUUUCAUUUUGCACUGGGCCCACGAACCACGGGGUCCGCCUUGCCUACCCACUUUCACAGUGCACUGAGGAGCUGUGAAGAGCUGCUGAACAUGUGACCCCCACCAGACAGACUGAAUCUCCACAAGGCCGGCCAGCUCCCUUACCCUUCAACUUCUGCACCCUCUUCCAGGACAGCCAGGUCCUGCAGCACCCAGCGCAGACUGAGCCCACCAUACGUCUUUGCUCAGCUGAAUCCUUCUAGAAGGGGACUCCCAGCCCCCCACCUGUCCCGGCCACGUGGGAGUCCAUGGAGACCUUGGGUUUGCAGCUUAGCCACAGGGGGUCUGUGCCAGGCUGCAGGCUGUGCAUUCUGCUCUGCUUUCUCAUAAAACGUUUUCUUCACAUAGUGUGGGCCCGGGGCUCCUAGACAGGCAGAACACAAACCCAAGGGCCAUGGAGCUAUGCAUUAUUUCUGCUGGGGCGCAUUUUUGCAUUUAGGAAUCUGAGUUUUUGGUAACUUAAUGCCAGGAGUGGAAGGUAAACAGAUUCUUCUUAUUGCAACCCUCUGUGUCCAGCUGUUCUGGGAAGGUUUUUCAAAAGGGAAGAAAGUGACUAACUUAGCCUGGCAGCUCUCAAUGCUGGUGCCUUUGUCCUUCAGGGGUCAUGUGGCACUAUCAGGAGACACCUGUGGUUAUCACAAGGGGGCUGUAUGGGUCUACCGGUGUUCAGUGGGCAGAUGCCAGGACCCUGCUCUACGUCCCACAACACAAGGAGAACCCAGCAGCAAGCAGCCAGCCCGCCCGCACCCAACAGUACUGAAGCUGAGAAAUCCGCGCACGAAGCAGCCCUGCAUCUGCAUGCACAGGGUGUUUGUGGAGGAAGCAUCGCUCAACAAUUAAAUUACUUUUUAUGAGAUUUUACUCCCUGAGAGCAGCAUAGAUCACUGGGGAGAAAUGAAAGAGAACAUUUUGUGCCGCAGCAAGACCAUUUUAGUUCAGAAGCACAUUCAGAAACAAGGCUUUGAGGUAAAGGUCUAGGGCUUUUCCCCACAAACCCAGUGGGGAAACUUAUUAAAGUACAGAUUCCUAGGCCUCUCUUCACACCCACUGAGCAGACGCUCUUGGGGAGAGUGGUGGGGUCUGCAUUUUUAGGACACCCCCCAAGUGAUCUGGACAUACACUGACAUUUUCUUCCACUUCCCAAAAGUAGGGUGGGGCAGAUGGGCCAUAUGCAGAGUGGUUUUUAAGAAGUUGCACAUUCUAGCACGGCUCUCCAACUUGAUCAUCGGCACUGCCGCAUCAUGAGCUGCCCUAGACAGGGACCCUGGCUGCUCUGCUUAGGAGUUCACGAAGCCACCCAGUGAGCUGCAGCGUCUCUCUAAAAAACAGCAAUACCCACGAAGACCUAGGUUUGACAGCCAGUUACAUUUUCUUCUCACUCCUCAGAACACAAAGUAUGAAAGUAAACAACACCGCCUGUGUCACCCAAGACGACAAAGAGCGCAUGUGGGAAGCUGCAUGGCAGCGGAGCAGCCGCAGCCCAUUCGGGGAACUUCUCAGCCAGCAACUGCACUCUCUACCAUGCAGACGCCUGGGCUCUGCAGGUGGAGUCUGAACCUUCCUUGCAAGCGCAGGCUUGCCUGCCAAUCGCUUUGUGGAGGAGCGAGAGUAGUCAGCAAGUACCACACACCGUUAGCUAUAAAUCCAAGUCUCCAUGGAAUCACAUGUAGCUGGGACAGGCCAGGUGGCUGUUGGGUCCCCGUCCAGGGGAAUGGGACUGAACCAGCAUGUGCAGUGGGCUAACUGUGCUGGGCCCUGCAGACGUGGUGAAGGCACAGAAACGAGUCAGACGGGUGCCCCCAAAGAGGCAGAAUGACAUAAUUAGCCCCGGGCCCACACUGACAGCCACCAGCUCCAACUGAUGAGCUUUUGUAAAGAACCAUCUUAAAUCAGGCACAGUGGUGCACAACUGUCAGUGUGGUGCACACCUGUCGUCCCAGCUCCUUGGGAGGCGAAGGCAGGAGGAUGGAAAGGUCAAGCCCCGCCUGAACAACUUUGCAAGGCACUGUCUUAAAAAAAAUGAACAGGGCCAGCCAUGUAGAUCAGAGCAAAAGCUCUGGGUUCAAUCCUCAGUUCUGCAAAAACCAAAAAGCCAGAACCAUCUUAAAUCCCACACUAGGACAAAACAAAGGACCAGCACAUUUUGCAUGGCACUGGCACUCAGAAGUUGGAACGGGUGUGAGAAGUACAAGUCUAUGAAGAAAUUGGCUUCCAUCCUCCUCCUCCCUCUCCUGCAACUCUUUCAGGUGGUGCUGCUGGCUGUGUCACAAAGGGACAAGCAUGACACACCAAAGGCUACAGAAACUCACAAUCUCUGCUAAGAGUCAGAAUAAGCGUGUGCAGUUUGUUUUUCCGUUCACAUUUUCCCAAAAGGCCAACCUUGACCUCACGUUGGUUUCCACUGGGCUCUGCACACAGCCUACCUUGCCACACACCUGGCCCAUGCAGCUGCCACCCGGCCCGAUGGGUGCGCGUGCAUUCACUAACACCGCUUUAUUUUUGUCUUUUCUCUCUGAUCCACAUUCAGCUGCCUGCAUAAUUCCCACCUCAGGUGCAACCUCUCAGAGUUACUUGUCUCCUACUUGAGAUACAUUGCUGUUCCGCACACAUCAGAAGAUUGGCCAGGGGGUGGGAGGUAUGAGUGUGGAACUGGGCCAGGAGGAGCUAGGACACUGCCCUCAGACCCAGGUACUACACACACAACAGAACACCAUGACAGUGUCUCUCUGUGGUAAAGACCUUGAGGGGGUGUUUCUGAGCAAGGCUAUAAACAGAUACACCUUUCCCUCCAGUCUCAAAGGGCUUGUGAUUUAGAAAGUGUCUCUCUGUGCAGCUGCCAGCCAUCCCUGUUUGGCUUGAGGUGGAAAGACAAGAUGGUGUAUAGACAUGUUUUGAGCACCUACUCAGGGCUCAAUAGGCUCUGGGUGUCGGCGGCGAAACCCUCGCUCUCCCUGAACAGGAGCACGGAGGAAAGGUGAGGGUGUGCUCCCGCAGGCAGAGAGAAGGAUGAGGAAGGGGGCGAGCACGGCUGGGUCAGAGGCUGCUGACUGCACCCCGACCCUGGACACCGGAUCUGUAGCAUCAUGAGAGCAUCCAGCGGGGAGUACUGGAUGAGUCGGUGAAGACGGCACUGCAACUGCACAGGCAAGGCCAGGGGCCGGUUCUGGUGACCUGGGACAGGCAGGGGCCCAAGGCCCAGCAAGGAGAGUGGACUCGGGGGCUGCCUGCUUGGGAGUGCAUGAAGGCUGGUCACUCUCUGGUGAGGCGACCGCGGCAGAUGGUUAGGCCGCUCUGUGCCUCAGUCUCCUUACCCAUAAAACGAUUGCAGUCACGAGUCCACCUCCCAGGCUUACUGCGGAGCUCUGCGGUUAACGCAGGUGAAUGUUAGGACCAUGCUGGGCACACAGCACCUACCGGCACUGGCUGCUGUUAUUUUCCUGUGGGGCCCACUGAGGUCUCUUACGGCUAUAUGAACUUGAAGCAAAAAAAUCUUACAGUGGGGAGUGUGUGGUGGAUGACGGUGGGAGAGGAAAUCAGAAGCAGAUAGACCGGGCUUAGUUGUGCCUCUGACCAUGGGAAUUCACCCCGGAAAGCUUCACUCCUUUCCCUCUCUCCUUCCCUUCUUUUCUUCCU